AUUGAACGCUGGCGGCAGGCCUAACACAUGCAAGUCGAACGGCAACAGAAUACGGCCUGCUGUUUCGGUGACGAGUGUCGGACGGGUGAGUAGUGUAUGGGGAACUGUCCGUUUGCGGGGGGUAACAACUGGGAAAGGUAACUCAUAUACCAUAACCUCGCAAGACCAAAAAGGGGGGCAUUCUCGCACCUUGCGCUCAGAUGUGCCCAGAUGGGAUUAGCUAGUGGGUGGGGUAACGGCCCACCUAGGCGACGAUCCCUAGCUGGUCUGAGAGGAUGACCAGCCACACUGGAACUGAGACACGGUCCAGACUCCUACGGGAGGCAGCAGUGGGGAAUAUUGGACAAUGGGCGCAAGCCUGAUGCAGCCAUGCCGCGUGUAUGAAGAAGGCCUUCGUGUUGUAAAGUCCUUUCGUCGGGAAGGAAGGGCGUAAAGUUAAUACCUUGGCUCAUUGACGUUACCCGAAGAAGAAGCACCGGCUAACUCCGUG
rnacentral:rRNA from 1 species